UCCUGGCUCAGGACGAACGCUGGCGGCGUGCCUAACACAUGCAAGUCGAACGGAAGUUAGAGCUUCGGUUUUAACUUUAGUGGCGAACGGGUGAGUAACGCGUGAGGAACCUGCCUUUCAGUGGGGGACAACAGUUGGAAACGACUGCUAAUACCGCAUGAUGCUUUUGGGAGACAUCUCCUGAAAGUCAAAGCUUUAUGUGCUGAAAGAUGGCCUCGCGUCUGAUUAGCUAGUUGGUGAGGUAACGGCUCACCAAGGCGACGAUCAGUAGCCGGUCUGAGAGGAUGAACGGCCACAUUGGGACUGAGAUACGGCCCAGACUCCUACGGGAGGCAGCAGUGGGGAAUAUUGGGCAAUGGGGGAAACCCUGACCCAGCAACGCCGCGUGAAGGAAGAAGGCCUUCGGGUUGUAAACUUCUUUUACCAGGGACGAAGGACGUGACGGUACCUGGAGAAAAAGCCACGGCUAACUACGUGCCAGCAGCCGCGGUAAUACGUAGGUGGCAAGCGUUGUCCGGAUUUACUGGGUGUAAAGGGCGUGUAGGCGGAGAUGCAAGUUGGGAGUGAAAUCCAUGGGCUCAACCCAUGAACUGCUCUCAAAACUGUAUCCCUUGAGUAUCGGAGAGGCAAGUGGAAUUCCUAGUGUAGCGGUGAAAUGCGUAGAUAUUAGGAGGAACACCAGUGGCGAAGGCGGCUUGCUGGACGACAACUGACGCUGAGGCGCGAAAGCGUGGGGAGCAAACAGGAUUAGAUACCCUGGUAGUCCACGCUGUAAACGAUGAAUACUAGGUGUGGGGGGACUGACCCCUUCCGUGCCGCAGUUAACACAAUAAGUAUUCCACCUGGGGAGUACGACCGCAAGGUUGAAACUCAAAGGAAUUGACGGGGGCCCGCACAAGCAGUGGAUUAUGUGGUUUAAUUCGACGCAACGCGAAGAACCUUACCAGGAUUUGACAUCCAACUAACGAAGUAGAGAUACAUUAGGUGCCCUUCGGGGAAAGUUGAGACAGGUGGUGCAUGGUUGUCGUCAGCUCGUGUCGUGAGAUGUUGGGUUAAGU
rnacentral:rRNA from 1 species